GACGAACGCUGGCGGCGUGCUUAACACAUGCAAGUCGAACGGAAAGGCCCUGCUUUUGUGGGGUGCUCGAGUGGCGAACGGGUGAGUAACACGUGAGUAACCUGCCCUUGACUUUGGGAUAACUUCAGGAAACUGGGUCUAAUACCGGAUAGGAGCUCCUGCUGCAUGGCGGGGGUUGGAAAGUUUCGGCGGUUGGGGAUGGACUCGCGGCUUAUCAGCUUGUUGGUGGGGUAGUGGCUUACCAAGGCUUUGACGGGUAGCCGGCCUGAGAGGGUGACCGGCCACAUUGGGACUGAGAUACGGCCCAGACUCCUACGGGAGGCAGCAGUGGGGAAUAUUGCACAAUGGGCGGAAGCCUGAUGCAGCAACGCCGCGUGCGGGAUGACGGCCUUCGGGUUGUAAACCGCUUUCGCCUGUGACGAAGCGUGAGUGACGGUAAUGGGUAAAGAAGCACCGGCUAACUACGUG
rnacentral:rRNA from 1 species